rnacentral:tRNA from 1 species
GUCUCUGUGGCGCAAUCGGUUAGCGCGUUCGGCUGUCAACCGAAAGACUUGUGAUACAAGCCCACGGGACG